rnacentral:lncRNA from 1 species
ACAAAUUGGUCAUGGGAGGAAUUUUAUCAAAUUAAAAUCAUUCAUUCAUUUUGGGAGAUGAAAUGUACAUUUCAUCAAUCCCCUAAAUUCAAUGAUUUUAACUUAACAAAAUUGGUCAUGGGAGGAAUUUUAUCAAAUUAAAAUCAUUCAUUCAUUUUGGGAGAUGAAAUGUACAUUUCAUCAAUCCCCUAAAUUCAAUGAUUUUAACUUAACAAAAGUCAAAUCAACCUUGACCAAGGACCAAACAUAUAGUCUAUCAUCACAAGUCAAUAAAAAUGGCUCAACAUAAUUUCUAUACAAUUAAUCAAUUAAAAAUCAAAUUAAAAAUGCAUUAAAAUUAAAUUUAAUUUGGUCAAAACCUAAAAUCUCU